AUUAUACUCCCUCCGUUCGGAAUUACUUGUCGCGAAAAUGAAUGUAUUUAGAUGUAUUUUAGUUCUAGAUACAUCCAUUUUCGAGACAAGUAAUUCCGAACGGAGGGAGUACAUG
rnacentral:pre_miRNA from 1 species